rfam:Dehalococcoidia bacterium CG2_30_46_9 cg2_3.0_scaffold_1949_c, whole genome shotgun sequence.
AGCCACUGACCUUAAGGCAGUGAGCGUAGAGUAAAGUAAACAUAGUUUCCGCUUGGAUCGGUAAUGACCGAGACGGAAGA